rnacentral:rRNA from 1 species
CCUACGGUGGCUGCAGUGGGGAAUAUUGGACAAUGGGCGAAAGCCUGAUCCAGCCAUGCCGCGUGUGUGAAGAAGGCCUUCGGGUUGUAAAGCACUUUCAGUGGGGAAGAAAGCCUUGGGGCUAAUACCCUCGAGGAAGGACAUCACCCACAGAAGAAGCACCGGCUAACUCCGUGCCAGCAGCCGCGGUAAUACGGAGGGUGCGAGCGUUAAUCGGAAUUACUGGGCGUAAAGCGCGCGUAGGCGGUCUGAUAAGCCGGUUGUGAAAGCCCCGGGCUCAACCUGGGAACGGCAUCCGGAACUGUCAGGCUAGAGUGCAGGAGAGGAAGGUAGAAUUCCCGGCGUAGCGGUGAAAUGCGUAGAGAUCGGGAGGAAUACCAGUGGCGAAGGCGGCCUUCUGGACUGACACUGACGCUGAGGUGCGAAAGCGUGGGUAGCAAACAGGAUUAGAUACCCGAGUAGUC